rfam:Lactobacillus secaliphilus strain DSM 17896 NODE_8, whole genome shotgun sequence.
CCCUUAGGACAAGGGUGCGCUCACGAACCGUGUCAGGUCCGGAAGGAAGCAGCACUAAGUCUGAUGCAUCUUGUGUCCUAAGUUUGA